ensembl:lncRNA
GGACAAUUUAAGAGAAUCCAGGAGCUUUGACUAACCGGCUACUCAGCCAUGACCCUGCCCUGUUGAAGGAAGUAGAAAGGACGGGAAUUGGUCAGUCAACAGCACUCAGGUGCCAAGUCGUGAACACACUGUGGGGAGGAGACCGGCAACAGAAAAUGACUGGAAGACACAAGGAAUCCCUAAAAGAUCGAAAAAAUGUUCUCCGCAAUCUAAACAAAGUUAGAUUGGGAAAUGCAGCAUGGUACCAUGGGGGCCUGGUUCGGCCAUGACCCGCCUGCCCGCAGGCGCCGGCCUCAGAUGCUCAGAGCGGCCUGGGGAGAGAGGGGAUGCUUUGACUUUUCAAGAUCUAAGAGUUAUGGUUCCCUUUUGGCGAAAUGCUUUUUGUCCUGUCAUAACUUGAGUCCUUUGUGGUAGCACCGAUUGUGGCCUCGGAAGCCCAGGCUGCAGCUUCCUAUGCCUGGGGUUGACAAGAAACCAGAAAAGUCUAGGUGUCUCGAGCUCUGGAGUGGACCACAGAUGGUUAAAACACUGUGAAAUGUGUUUUCAGGGGUAAGAGGACAGAAAAGCCUAAAGCAGACCUUCAACUGGACCUCCACCAGUCUUCCGCUCUCCAGAAAGUUCUCAUUCAUUCAACCCAAGGGUAGCUCAAUGGCUUUUCUGAGGACGACUGGAAGUGUCAGCAGGAGUCCUGGCCACAGGGAAAAAUCAAGCUACCUGAGCUUGGAGACAAAGCUCUCAACUCGGCAGUCUGUGUCUUCAGAUGCUGUGCUUUCCUUACUCAAUUUAAACUUGGAGAAAAGUAAAUAAACA